rnacentral:rRNA from 1 species
GAUAACGGCGUCGAGCGGCGGACGGGUGAGUAAUGCCUAGGAAAUUGCCCUGAUGUGGGGGAUAACCAUUGGAAACGAUGGCUAAUACCGCAUAAUGCCUACGGGCCAAAGAGGGGGACCUUCGGGCCUCUCGCGUCAGGAUAUGCCUAGGUGGGAUUAGCUAGUUGGUGAGGUAAGGGCUCACCAAGGCGACGAUCCCUAGCUGGUCUGAGAGGAUGAUCAGCCACACUGGAACUGAGACACGGUCCAGACUCCUACGGGAGGCAGCAGUGGGGAAUAUUGCACAAUGGGCGCAAGCCUGAUGCAGCCAUGCCGCGUGUGUGAAGAAGGCCUUCGGGUUGUAAAGCACUUUCAGUCGUGAGGAAGGUAGUGUAGUUAAUAGCUGCAUUAUUUGACGUUAGCGACAGAAGAAGCACCGGCUAACUCCGUGCCAGCAGCCGCGGUAAUACGGAGGGUGCGAGCGUUAAUCGGAAUUACUGGGCGUAAAGCGCAUGCAGGU